rnacentral:lncRNA from 1 species
GGAUUGGCUGUGACCCGCCGCCGCUCGCCCUCAGACUCAGACUUGUUGUCUGGUUCUGGGGUGAGGCAGGCGGGUUCUCCUCUAGCGGCCAGGGGGAGGGAGUGUGAGAGAGGCGCGUCCGCCGCUUCCCUCCCGGCGGCGCUGCAGAGUCUCCCCCUGGCUGGGUGGCGGUGCUGCCGCCUCGUGUAUCGCGGGCGCCCCUGGCUGCGGCGUGGGCGGGAGGUGGCUCGGCUACUCGCGGCUGCCCCUGCGGCCGCCCGGGUGUGGGGAGCGGGGAGAGAAAGGGACAGAAUGUUGGCUUUGAAAGCUCAGGGAAGAAGCAGUAGGGGGAAAAACGUAACACAGUGGUAAGUAUCAUCAUGGUUUUUUUUCUUUUGAACCAGCAGCAUGUUUAUUAAAAUAUGUAAAC